AGUUAUUACCGUCCUGUUCUGCUGAUUCUGGGCAGUGAGUCACAUCAUAAACACGAUUGCCUCAUUGUUAGGCGAUGGAACUUUGGAAAACACCUACAAUUCAGAUGCCGCAAUCGAGAUCUAAUUUCAUUCACAAAAGCCGAAAUCCAUUUACAGGAAAUGUAGAGGGCGCUAUAAGCUGCUUUGCAGGUGAUUGUCAAAAAUCUGAA